AAUGGGCGCAAGCCUGAUCCAGCGAUGCCGCGUGGAUGAUGAAGGCCCUAGGGUUGUAAAGUCCUUUCGAUGGUGAAGAUAAUGACGGUAACCAUUAAAGAAGCCCCGGCUAAUUUCGUGCCAGCAGCCGCGGUAAUACGAAAGGGGCAAGCGUUGUUCGGAAUUACUGGGCGUAAAGCGCGCGUAGGCGGCAUGCCAAGUUGGGGGUGAAAUCCCGGAGCUCAACUCCGGAACUGCCUCCAAAACUGGCAAGCUAGAGGAUGUGAGAGGAUAGUGGAAUUCCGAGUGUAGAGGUGAAAUUCGUAGAUAUUCGGAAGAACACCAGUGGCGAAGGCGACUGUCUGGCGCAUUUCUGACGCUGAGGUGCGAAAGCGUGGGGAGCGAACAGGAUU
rnacentral:rRNA from 1 species